CAGAAGCCCACAAAGCAGAAUAGAGUACAAGCUCUAUGUAAAAUUGGCACUCUCUCUCUGUACAAAUCAGGUCUCCUCAUCUAAAAUUUCACCCAAAUCAAAAUCCCUCGAAUCAAAAUGUGAAUCUCAGGAAUACCAAAAAAAUCACAUAGAAAGAAUCAUUUGAAGCGUAUUUGGUGUUGUAAUUUUCGAUUCUUGGUCUUGACAGAAUCUCAGCUUAUCUCUUUUCUUGGUCUAUCACAUCACUACUGGCUAUAAGCAUCGUCUCCCCUCUUUUUUGGACAAUGCCUGCUGAAGUUCACAUGCUCCUUCGACGUUUUGCUUUUACUGAAUCCUAACAUCAGAAGAAGAGGAGCUUCAUGGUUGACGAAUACAUUCUGUCACAAAGAUCACCUAUUGUCUGAUUCAAUUCACAAGGUCAUUUCCCUCGGGAAGGAAUAAAAGAUAUGAUGGAUAAAAGUUGGUUGAAUAUUAGGAAUAGAAUCGACCAACGAUAUAGAGAUGGAGUAGACAACUUUCUUAAUUGGGCAUUCAGUCAUCCAACUGUGGUUUGAUCAUGAGGAGCACUAUCUCGUUCCAAGUUGGAAAUUGGCAGAAAAUAGUUCUGAAACAUGGAGAAGUAAUGUAGUUAAAGGUCAAGGAUAAAUUUGAAGUUUUCAGCGGGUUGCGAGAGCAUAGGUUUCAGGCCUUUGUAAUUAGCACUAUGCAAAGGCUUUUUAGAGCAUGGAAAGCUCGACUCAGCAUUCUGUACUCUAAGUACAGUACUAAUGAAGAAAGAUUGUCUCAUCGACCUGAAGAUGUUGAGUUUGAGGACUGGAAAUACCUAAUACAAUAUUUUGGAAGUCCAGAAUUUAAGGUUGUAAGUGAGAGGAACAAAAGAAAUAGAGAAAAGCAAAUAACUAAGCAUACUUGUGGUACAAAGUCUUUUGCAGAAGUAGAGGAAUCUAUGACAAAUCCUAUUACUGGAGAAUUGGACACACAAGUUUGGGAGAUCCAACAUACACACAAGGAUGAUAGAGGCGAACUGGUGUGGUUGGAUUCACCAUCCCAAUAAAUUUAUGGUCAACUCCAGUAAGUUGUCGCUCAGCAACAAUCUGAGGAUAUCGAGCAUCCCAUGACUAGAGAUGAGAUUUUAUCCUCCAUUGUUGGUGAGAGAACAUGCUAUGUUCGUGGAAAAGGAGUAACAUUCAGCAGGCAAACAUAGAGGCCAGCGUGUCUUCUGCUAUUGGUAUUGUGCGUCAAGAGAUGCAAGCCGAGAUGGAUAGGAAGUUGCAAGAAGAACGUGAACAAACGGCUGCUGAGUUGCGAAGAAAUAUGGAAAUUGAGUUGGAAAGGAAGUUGGCAGAGGAGCGUCAACACGCAAAUGAGGAGCGUCAACACGCAAAUGCAGAAACAGACAAGAGGAUCUCUCUAGAAGUGGAGAAGAAGAUGCAUGAACAAUUUGCUAGUUUCUUGACCAGAAUGCAACAACAACAGCAGGGACAAGACACUUAAACAGUGGUUCAAGGAUGGUGUCGAGCAAGGAGCAGUUACAAGACACUUAAUAUUUUAUCUUUUUUGGGAUAUGUAUAUGUGUACAAUUACAAUGCACAAUGAAGUGUCAGGUAAUAUAUAUGUAAUUGACUUUUUAGUAAUGAUAAUAUUUAUAAUAUUCGGCUUGAGAAAUUC